AAACUUCCUACGCCACUGGUAAAAUGACUAGUGAAAAAAAAUGUCCAGACAAUAGUUAUUAUAACAGCAGUACUGCUCUGUGCGUUUGUAAUGACGGAUUUAUUCUUUCAGAUUGUAGUCAAAAAUGUGAUCCAGGAAUGUACGGGUUUGCAUGUGGCAGUAAGUGUUCAUCCUGCUCUAUAGACGACUGUAAUCAUGUUUAUGGCUGUCCUCAGAUUGUGAGCACAACUUUAUCACCGAUAGGGGGAAGAAAAAUAUUAAAAUCAAAGCCAUUUGUCAGGCAUUCCAUCCUCUUCAACUGACAAGGAAAUUUCGUCUGAAACAGAGAACACCAGUGUGGUCGUCAUUAGUAUCGUGUCUGUGGCUGCCACUCUGAUUGUAGUUGGACUAGUCUUAUUCUGCUGCUUUCGCAUAUUAAGAGAAAAAAAGAAAAGGAGCAGAAAUGGAACAAAUGAAGAAGCAAGUGGUGUAUUUUUAAUGCCUGGAGUGGACAGAUAUGCAGAAUCAAAUAAUAGUGACAACCUAUAUACUGAACCUAAUCUUUACGAAUCUGAUGUAACGAGUGCAAGAGAUAACGAUUUUCCAGUUGAUUCAACAAAGUUCGAAACUCGGGUCAAAGGCACGCCGGAAGUCGAUGAAGAUCACUACAAUCACAUAACCCUUAAAAUUGACCUGAAUCCUAAGUAUGCCAGGGACGACACUGACCUUGGUGAUAUGUACAGCCAUAUUAAAACCACACACCCGCCAUCUAGAGUCCUGACGGAUAAUCAGUACAGUCACGUGACCAGCGAUUUCAGCCCUUGAAUAUUUUGUUUUAGACCUAAUUCCUCUCAAAAACUUCAUGUUCUAAGAAUAUCCAUGAGAUGAUGUACGUAAAUGAAUGCAUCUACAUUAAAUAUCUUUUAUUUAAUAUUUUGUUAUACCAGUAUAAUCAGUAUUUAUUUUGUAAUGUAUCUAUACACAAUAAAUUGUUGCGUAAUAG
rnacentral:misc_RNA from 1 species